GGCUGCGUGGCGUAAUGGUAGCGUGUGGUCCUCCUACAGAGAAAUUUGAAGGAGAAUUGCCAGACUGAGGUUGUGGGUUCGAGUCCCACCGUGGUCG